ACUACGGGCGGCAGCAGUGAGGAAUAUUGGUCAAUGGACGCAAGUCUGAACCAGCCAUGCCGCGUGCAGGAAGACGGCUCUAUGAGUUGUAAACUGCUUUUGUACGAGGAUAAACGCAUAUACGCGUAUCUGUCUGAAAGUAUCGUACGAAUAAGGAUCGGCUAACUCCGUGCCAGCAGCCGCGGUAAUACGGAGGAUUCGAGCGUUAUCCGGAUUUAUUGGGUUUAAAGGGUGCGUAGGCGGUCGGUUAAGUUAGUGGUGAAAUGCGAGGCUCAACUUCGGAAUUGCCGCUGAUACUGUUCGGCUAGAGUGCAGUAGCGGUAGGCGGAAUGCAUGGUGUAGCGGUGAAAUGCUUAGAGAUCACACAGAACACCGAUUGCGAAGGCAGCUUACCAAGCUACUACUGACGUUGAGGCACGAAAGCGUGGGGAUCAAACAGGAUUAGAUACCCUUGUAGUC
rnacentral:rRNA from 1 species